rnacentral:rRNA from 1 species
CCUACGGGAGGCUGCAGUGGGGGAUAUUGCACAAUGGGGGCAACCCUGAUGCAGCGACGCCGCGUGAGCGAUGGAGGACUUCGGUAUGUAAAGCUCUGUCAGCAGGGAAGAGAAUGACGGUACCUGACCAAGAAGCCCCGGCUAAAUACGUGCCAGCAGCCGCGGUAAUACGGAUGGGGCAAGCGUUAUCCGGAUUUACUUGGUGUAAAGGGAGCGUAGGCGGGAGUGCGAGCCUGAUGUGAAAGCCCGGGGCUCAACCCCGGGACUGCAUUGUGAACUGCCUCGCUCGAGUGGCGGAGGGGCAGGCGGAAUUGCUAGUGUAGCGGGUGAAUGCGUAGAUAUUCGGAGGGACACCAGUGGCGGAGGCGGCCUGCUGGACGGUGUACUGACGCUGAGGCUCGAAAGCGUGGGGAGCAAACAGGAUUAGAUACCCUAGUAGUC